rnacentral:rRNA from 1 species
GAUGAACGCUGGCGGCGUGCCUAAUACAUGCAAGUCGAGCGAACGGACGAGAAGCUUGCUUCUCUGAUGUUAGCGGCGGACGGGUGAGUAACACGUGGAUAACCUACCUAUAAGACUGGGAUAACUUCGGGAAACCGUAGCUAAUACCGGAUAAUAUUUUGAACCGCAUGGUUCAAAAGUGAAAGACGGUCUUGCUGUCACUUAUAGAUGGAUCCGCGCUGCAUUAGCUAGUUGGUAAGGUAACGGCUUACCAAGGCAACGAUGCAUAGCCGACCUGAGAGGGUGAUCGGCCACACUGGAACUGAGACGCGGUCCAGACUCCUACGGGAGGCAGCAGUAGGGAAUCUUCCGCAACGGGCGAAAGCCUGACGGAGCAACGCCGCGUGAGUGAUGAAGGUCUUCGGAUCGUAAAACUCUGUUAUUAGGGAAGAACAUAUGUGUAAGUAACUGUGCACAUCUUGACGGUACCUAAUCAGAAAGCCACGGCUAACUACGUG